AGAGGGAAAGAACCCAGACCUACAGCUAAGGUCCCUAAAUUUGUAUUAAGUUGAACUAAGGAGGUUCAGUUGCUUAGACAGCCAGGAUGUUGGCUUGGAAGCAGCCAUUCAUUUAAAGAGUGCGUAACAGCUCACUGGUCGAGCGGUCCCGCAUGGAUAAUGAUCGGGCAUAAGCACAUUACCGAAGCUAUGGCAUCGAAAGAUGGGUAGGGGAGCAUUCCGUUCUGCGUUGAAGCGGGCCUGCGAGGUCCCGUGGAGCGUACGGAAACGAAAAUGUAGGCAUAAGUAACGAUAAAGGGGGCGAGAAACCCCCUCACCGAAAGACUAAGGUUUCCUGAUCAACGCUAAUCGGAUCAGGGUUAGUCGGGACCUAAGGCAAACCCGAAAGGGGUAGUCGAUGGAUAACAGGUUAAUAUUCCUGUACUAGCAUUAAUUGCGAUGGGGUGACGGAGUAGUGAAAGGACUGCGUACUGACGGAAUAGUACGUUAAAGGGUGUAGGUAUAAGAACUGUAGGUAAAUCCGCAGAUCUUGCUGAACCUGAUAGUACCACGAGCCUUCGGGCAAGUGGAUAAUGUCCCUAAUCAGACUUCCAAGAAAAACCUCUAAGCUUCAGAUUAAUGCUACCCGUACCGCAAACCGACACAGGUAGUUGAGGAGAGAAUCCUAAGGUGCUCGAGUGAUUCGUGGUUAAGGAACUAGGCAAAAUCGCCCUGUAACUUCGGGAGAAAGGGCGCCAUCAGCAAUGAUGGCCGCAGUGAAAAGAUCCAAGCGACUGUUUAUCAAAAACACAUGGCUUUGCUAAAUUGAAAGAUGAUGUAUAAGGCCUGACACCUGCCCGGUGCUGGAAGGUUAAGGGGGGAUGUUAGCUUCGGCGAAGCAUUGAACUGAAGCCCCAGUAAACGGCGGCCGUAAC
rnacentral:rRNA from 1 species